AUGGCUCAGGAUGAACGCUAGCGGCAGGCUUAACACAUGCAAGUCGAGGGGCAUCGUGGAGUAGCAAUACUCUGACGGCGACCGGCGAAAGGGUGAGUAACGCGUGAGCAACAUGCCCGAUAGUGGAGGAUAGUCGAUGGAAACGUCGCGUAAUACUCCGUAAUAUAAGGGACCGCAUGAUCCUUUAUUAAUAGAUUUAUCGCUAUCGGAUUGGCUCGCGUACCAUUAGCUAGUUGGCGGGGUAACGGCCCACCAAGGCGACGAUGGUUAGGGGUUCUGAGAGGAAGGUCCCCUACAUUGGAACUGAGACACGGUCCAGACUCCUACGGGAGGCAGCAGUGAGGAAUAUUGGACAAUGGCCGGAAGGCUGAUCCAGCCAUGCCGCGUGCGGGAAAGACGGCCCUAUGGGUUGUAAACCGCUUUUGUUGGGGAGCAAUAAGGUCCACGAGUGGAUCGAUGAGAGUACCCAGCGAAUAAGCAUCGGCUAACUCCGUGCCAGCCGCUGC
rnacentral:rRNA from 1 species